rnacentral:tRNA from 1 species
ACUCUAAUAGUUUAUAAAAACAUUGGUCUUGUAAGCCAAAAAUGGAGGUUUCCCCCUCCUUAGAGUU